UCCCUGGAGGACUAGCGGUUAGGCCACAGCAUUCUCACUGCUAUGGCCCGGGUUCGAUUCCUGGCCAGGGAA
rnacentral:tRNA from 1 species